rnacentral:rRNA from 1 species
UGGGGAAUCUUGGACAAUGGGCGCAAGCCUGAUCCAGCAAUGCCGCGUGGGUGAAGAAGGCCUGCGGGUUGUAAAGCCCUUUCGGUGGGGAGGAACGGUCUGGUGCUAAUAUCGCUGGGCGUUGCCGUUACCCACAGAAGAAGCACCGGCCAACUCCGUGCCAGCAGCCGCGGUAAUACGGAGGGUGCGAGCGUUAAUCGGAAUUACUGGGCGUAAAGGGCGCGUAGGUGGUGCGUUGAGUCAGCUGUGAAAGCCCUGGGCUUAACCUGGGAAUGGCAGUUGAGACUGGCGUGCUGGAGUGUGACAGAGGACGGCGGAAUUCCCGGUGUAGCGGUGAAAUGCGUAGAGAUCGGGAGGAACACCGAUGGCGAAGGCAGCCGUCUGGGUUGACACUGACGCUGAGGCGCGAAGGCGUGGGGAGCAAACAGG